rnacentral:rRNA from 1 species
GACGAACGCUGGCGGCGUGCUUAACACAUGCAGGUCGAACGGAAAGGCCCUGCUUUUGUGGGGUGCUCGAGUGGCGAACGGGUGAGUAACACGUGAGUAACCUGCCCUUGACUUUGGGAUAACUUCAGGAAACUGGGGCUAAUACCGGAUAGGAGCUCCUGCUGCAUGGUGGGGGUUGGAAAGUUUCGGCGGUUGGGGAUGGACUCGCCGCUUAUCAGCUUGUUGGUGGGGUAGUGGCUUACCAAGGCUUUGACGGGUAGCCGGCCUGAGAGGGUGACCUGCCACAUUGGGACUGCGAUACGGCCCAGACUCCUACGGGAGGCAGCAGUGGGGAAUAUUGCACAAUGGGCGGAAGCCUGAUGCAGCAACGCCGCGUGCGGGAUGACGGCCUUCGGGUUGUAAACCGCUUUCGCCUGUGACGAAGCGUGAGUGACGGUAAUGGGUAAAGAAGCACCGGCUAACUACGUG